rnacentral:rRNA from 2 species
UGGCUUUCGGAGCUAACGCGUUAAGUAGACCGCCUGGGGAGUACGGUCGCAAGAUUAAAACUCAAAUGAAUUGACGGGGGCCCGCACAAGCGGUGGAGCAUGUGGUUUAAUUCGAUGCAACGCGAAGAACCUUACCUACUCUUGACAUCCAGAGAACUUAGCAGAGAUGCUUUGGUGCCUUCGGGAACUCUGAGACAGGUGCUGCAUGGCUGUCGUCAGCUCGUGUUGUGAAAUGUUGGGUUAAGUCCCGCAACGAGCGCAACCCUUAUCCUUGUUUGCCAGCACGUAAUGGUGGGAACUCCAGGGAGACUGCCGGUGAUAAACCGGAGGAAGGUGGGGACGACGUCAAGUCAUCAUGGCCCUUACGAGUAGGGCUACACACGUGCUACAAUGGCGUAUACAGAGGGCUGCCAACCAGCGAUGGUGAGCGAAUCCCAGAAAGUACGUCGUAGUCCGGAUUGGAGUCUGCAACUCGACUCCAUGAAGUCGGAAUCGCUAGUAAUCGUGAAUCAGAAUGUCACGGUGAAUACGUUCCCGGGCCUUGUACACACCGCCCGUCACACCAUGGGAGUGGGCUGCACCAGAAGUAGAUAGCUUAACCUUCGGGAGGGCGUUUACCACGGUGUGGUUCAUGACUGGGGUGAAGUCGUAACAAGGUAACCAAGGG